rnacentral:rRNA from 1 species
CGGCGAGUGAGCGGGAAGAGCUCAAAUUUGAAAUCUGGUAGCCUUCGGUUGCCCGAGUUGUAAUCUAGAGAAAUGUUUUCCGUGCCGGCCCAUGUACAAGUCCCUUGGAACAGGGCGUCAUAGAGGGUGAGAAUCCCGUCCUUGACAUGGACCCCCGGUGCUUUGUGAUACAUUUUCAACGAGUCGAGUUGUUUGGGAAUGCAGCUCAAAAUGGGUGGUGAAUUCCAUCUAAAGCUAAAUAUUGGCGAGAGACCGAUAGCGAACAAGUACCGUGAGGGAAAGAUGAAAAGCACUUUGGAAAGAGAGUUAAACAGUACGUGAAAUUGUUGAAAGGGAAACGAUUGAAGUCAGUCAUGCUCUUUGGUAUUUAUAUCAUUGAGUGGGGUCAACAUCAGUUUUGAUCGAUGGAUAAAGGCACUAGGAAUGUAGCACUCUCGGGUGAACUUAUAGCCUAGCGUCAUAUACAUUGAUUGGGACUGAGGAACGCAGCAUGCCUUUAUGGCCGGGAUUCGUCCACGUACAUGCUUAGGAUGUUGACAUAAUGGCUUUAAACGACCCGUCUUGAA